AUUGAACGCUGGCGGCAGGCCUAACACAUGCAAGUCGAGCGGAUGAAGGGAGCUUGCUCCUGGAUUCAGCGGCGGACGGGUGAGUAAUGCCUAGGAAUCUGCCUGGUAGUGGGGGAUAACGUCCGGAAACGGGCGCUAAUACCGCAUACGUCCUGAGGGAGAAAGUGGGGGAUCUUCGGACCUCACGCUAUCAGAUGAGCCUAGGUCGGAUUAGCUAGUUGGUGGGGUAAAGGCCUACCAAGGCGACGAUCCGUAACUGGUCUGAGAGGAUGAUCAGUCACACUGGAAGUGAGACACGGUCCAGGCUCCUACGGGAGGCAGCAGUGGGGAAUAUUGGACAGUAGGCGAAAGCCUGAUCCAGCCAUGCCGCGUGUGUGAAGGAGGUCUUCGGAUUGUAAAGCACUUUAAGUUGGGAGGAAGGGCAGUAAGUUAAUACCUUGCUGUUUUGACGUUACCAGCAGAAUAAGCACCGGCUAACUUCGUG
rnacentral:rRNA from 1 species